CACAAAAGAAGAGAUCCUGGAGCUGCUGGUGCUGGAGCAAUUCCUGACUAUCCUGCCCAGUGAGAUAAGGAUUUGGGUGAAGUCACAGCAUCCACAAAACAUUGAGGAGGUGAUCACUUUGGUGGAGGAUGUGACCCAAAUGUUUGAGGAGGAAGCUUUGCAUCCUCAGGAUUCUGUCCAAGAGAGGAACACGGAGAAAGAAGAAAAGCCUGCUGGGUUUCCACCAGCCAAAUUUCAGCUAGAGUGGAGUGAACUGGUAAAAAUCAAGGCCAAACCAGAAGCCAAAAAACAAGAAGAUACUACUUGGAGAUACAGC